rnacentral:rRNA from 1 species
GAUGAACGCUAGCUACAGGCUUAACACAUGCAAGUCGAGGGGCAGCAUGAACUUAGCUUGCUAAGUUUGAUGGCGACCGGCGCACGGGUGAGUAACACGUAUCCAACCUUCCGUUUACUCAGGGAUAGCCUUUCGAAAGAAAGAUUAAUACCUGAUAGUAUGGUGAGAUUGCAUGAUAACACCAUUAAAGAUUUAUUGGUAAACGAUGGGGAUGCGUUCCAUUAGGUAGUAGGCGGGGUAACGGCCCACCUAGCCUGCGAUGGAUAGGGGUUCUGAGAGGAAGGUCCCCCACAUUGGAACUGAGACACGGUCCAAACUCCUACGGGAGCAGCAGUGAGGAAUAUUGGUCAAUGGACGAGAGUCUGAACCAGCCAAGUAGCGUGAAGGAUGAAGGUCCUACGGAUUGUAAACUUCUUUAUAAGGGAAUAAACCCUCCCAACGUGUGGGAGCUUGUAUGUACCUUAUGAAUAGCAUCGGCUAACUCCGUAUCCG